AGGCCCCUCCAUCUGAACUUCCAGCUUAGUUUUCUGAGCAUGGAGGCUGAGGAACUCAAGUGAGUGGGUGUUCGCAGCCUGGCAGCACAUUGGAAUCACCUGGGGUGCUUUGAAAACUACAGCUGUUCGGGCCAGCACAGGCUAAUUAAAUUAGCAUUUUGAGGGAGGGGGUGCCCUGAUGACAGCAUGUUUCAAAGCCUCUUCAGGUGAUCAUAGUCGGCAUCAGGGUGAAGAGCCAUUGGCCUACGGCAGUGGUCCUCAGUCACCUGGUGAGCUUGUUAAACCACAGUUUGCGGGGCCCCAUCCCACACUUUCUCAUUCAACGGGUCGGGGGUGGGGUGGAGUCUGAGAAUCUGCAUUUCUACCCAGCAACCAGGUGCUGCUGCUCCUGGGCUCCCACUGAGGACCACUGGCUCAGCCCAAGUCUCCUUCAAAGCUAGUGCCAGUGAGCCCAGGUUUGGGAUCCCUCCCAGCCUUGGAUCCUGGCGUGGCAGAUCCAGCAUCUGGUUCUAGCUCUGCUACCAUCCAAUCCUGGACUGCUCACAUCCUUCUCUGGGCCUCGGACAACACUCUCUCUCAAGUGCCUUUUAAGCUCUCAGAAUCUUUGAUUAUGAAUUGUAAGUGGGAUGAAGCAGCAUUUCCAGCUGAUGAACAGACCCACAGGUCACAGGAUGUCUCCUAAAGUAAGCUUGUGGCAGGCAACUGCAGCAAUGAGGAAACUGUUGACCAGGGACAACCGGGAAUACUCAUCUCAGUACAGGCGGGAAUCUGUUCUUCAGAAACUUGGAAAUUACUGAAAAGUGUAUGGAGCAAAUGAAAAAUUAUGCAGAAUCCUGUAGCCCAAAGAGAGCAAUUGGACGCCUACCACAGCAUGAAUUGACAAGCGGUACAAUGUCUGCACCCGGGAUCCAAACUGGGGAACCCCAGGCCACAGAAGCAGAAUGUGCACACCUAACCGCUGCGCCACCGGGCCAGCCUCUGAUGAAAUUGUGAUUCAUCCCUUUCUUCUUCUUUUCUUGUAUACCUAUGUAUUUUAAAACAAUUGAAGUAAUGCAAGAGAAACAAAGGUGGGCAUUCCUAUCGCCUGCUUUCCUGUUUUAUUAUUGGUUCUUUGAAAUCAUAAAAAUGACUAGUCCAUGGAUGAUAAUAAUUGCCAAUGUUUGAGUCCUUAAGACGUGAGAUGGUGGGUAAAUGCGUGUUCAUUGUCUCAGUUAAAUAAUCCGUCAUUUCUUUAACUGGUCUUCUAUGUAAACAAUGCUGUGAUGAACAUCUUUCGUAUACAUAUUUUCAUCUUUCUGAUUAUUUCUUUAGACCAGGAGUUGGCACACUUUUUUAUAAAGGACCAGAUAAUAUUUUAUGUUUAGUGGGCCAUAUGGUCUCUGUCACAACUACUCAAUUCUCCACUGCAGCACAAAAGCAGCCAUAAACCGUAUAAACAAAUGAGCGUGGACGCAUUCCGAUAAAAUGUUAUUUACAAAAACAGGUGGCUGGUUGGGUUUGGUCUGUGGGCCAUAGUUUGCCCACCCUGCUUUACACUAGAAUCAGUGAAGGACUGGCAAAUUCUUUUCAAUAAAAGGCAGAUAGAAAAUGUAUUUAGUUGUGCCCAGUACUGUCUUUGUUGCUGUUUCUUCUCCCCUCCCGCUUUGACCUCUUCUCUCCCUCCUCCUCGUCCUCCUCCUCCUUCCCCUCCUCCUCGUCCUCCUCCUCCUUCCCCUCCUCCUCGUCCUCCUCGUCCUCCUCCUCAUCCUCCUCCUCGUCCUCCUCCUCCUUCCCCUCCUCCUUCCCCUCCUCCUCGUCCUCCUCCUUCCCCUCCUCCUCGUCCUCCUCCUCGUCCUCCUCCUCCUCCUCCUCUUCC
ensembl:lncRNA